AUUUUAGAUAAGCCAAAUGACAUCAAAAUCGUCAUCAGGAAAAGUUAACUCUUUCCUGGAUAGGAAGGUUUAGUGAGACGAGACUGCCCUCUAUGGACCAAAUACCUAAAUUGCCAUCCAUAGAUUGAACACAUCUACAGUUUCCUAUUGGCUUAUCAACUAAUGGCGUACAGAGAGUCUGGCCCUUUAAGAGUUAGGACAAAGGGAAGAGAGAGAGGUUAGUUGGCAGAGAGAGGGAGUUGAAGUUUGGGGAUUCCAAUUCGGACAUGCGGAGAAAGACUCAAGAAACAUUCUCUGGGACUAACACUCUACUCUUAAACGCUCUUGGACACUCAACUCUUAAACACUUUUUACUCUGACUUUCUAACCAACACCACUUUUCUCUAUUACUCACGCACCUCCAUACAACCAAUCAAGUUCCUGGGACUACCUA